GUCCCUGUAGCGCAAUGGAUAGCGUGUUGGACUUCUAAUCCAAAGGUCGUCGGUUCGAAUCCCACCUGGAAUG
rnacentral:tRNA from 1 species